rnacentral:misc_RNA from 1 species
AGAGAACGGAGAGCAAGAAUUCUGACGCGGCAAUAACGGAGCUCAUACACUGACGCUGCACGGCCGUACCAACUGGUAUUUAACGGCGUUAUUACCGACGAUAAUACCGGCGGUAGGAUUUCCGAACAUGAUAGCCGCCGGACAGUCGACGUUGAGAUGGUAGCGGCCGGAGAUGAAGGUACCGACCUUGAAUCGGACGCGACCAUCGAGUUUGAUCGACAACUGGACGGUGCCGACGGCCUGGUCCUGAUUCAGAGCGGCGCCGUUGUACGGAGAGAUUGGAACGGCGUUACCGACGAGGAACGGAGACCAGAUGUUGAGAUCGUUGUGGCCUUGGUAGGUAGGUUGAAUGACGGUACGGAGAGUGAUCUGUUGGUUCCGGUAAACGGCGUAGACGUCGAGGCGGUCGUAGUAGAUGCCGAUCUUGUCGUUAGGGUUCCGGGAGGAGACGGUGACUUGGAUACUGGAGGAGAUAAAGUUAGCGGCGGUGACAUUGAAGAUGAAGACGGUGGCGUCUUGGAUGAUGAAUUUGGGCUUUGUAGGCUGAAGAAUCGCCCAAAUUAGGAGGAUAGUGAGGAGGACGAGGAAGAGGAAAAUGAGAACUCCGGCGUAAAUUCGGCGGAUUAGCUUUGGCCGUUUUUUGCUGUGGUGAACGCAUUCCUUUGACAUGUCGUCGACGGUGCCGGAGGAUCAGAUGAGAGAGAAGAAGGUGGGUUUUGAAGUCGUUGUUCUUCCACUAUCUCUCUCUGAUCAGUAGUAGGA